UGUUCUUACAUUGGGAAUAAGUUUAUAAUUCCCCAAGCAGCCAGUUUACCCUAAGAAGGGCUUCCAGCGCCACGCCGCGGGAUCUGAUGGAUUUAUUAUAAAUUAGUAUUCAUCGCUCAACCCGACAAAAGAUCUUUUGGACGUGGAAAUUAAACUCGAUAUUCAUCGCUCAACCCGACAAAAGAUCUUUUGGACGUGGAAAUUAAACUCGAUGUAAGUGAAAAAAAAAA